CCUACGGGAGGCAGCAGUGGGGAAUUGUUCGCAAUGGGCGCAAGCCUGACGACGCAACGCCGCGUGGAGGAUGAAGGUCUUCGGAUUGUAAACUCCUGUUGAUUGGGACGAAUGCCUCUGGGGCUAACACCACCAGGGGGUGACGGUACCGAUUGAGGAAGCCCCGGCUAACUCUGUGCCAGCAGCCGCGGUAAUACAGAGGGGGCGAGCGUUGUUCGGAAUUACUGGGCGUAAAGGGCGCGUAGGUGGCCACCUAAGUCAGACGUGAAAUCCCUCGGCUCAACCGGGGAACUGCGUCUGAUACUGGGUGGCUUGAAUCCGGGAGAGGGAUGUGGAAUUCCAGGUGUAGCGGUGAAAUGCGUAGAUAUCUGGAGGAACACCGGUGGCGAAGGCGGCAUCCUGGACCGGUAUUGACACUGAGGCGCGAAAGCGUGGGGAGCAAACAGGAUUAGAUACCCUGGUAGUCCACGCCGUAAGCGAUGAAUACUAGGUGUAGGGGGUAUCGACUCCCUCUGUGCCGCAGCUAACGCAAUAAGUAUUCCACCUGGGGAGUACGGCCGCAAGGUUGAAACUUAAAGGAAUUGACGG
rnacentral:rRNA from 1 species